rnacentral:rRNA from 1 species
GACGAACGCUGGCGGCGUGCUUAACACAUGCAAGUCGAACGGAAAGGCCCUGCUUUUGUGGGGUGCUCGAGUGGCGAACGGGUGAGUAACACGUGAGUAACCUGCCCUUGACUUUGGGAUAACUUCAGGAAACUGGGGCUAAUACCGGAUAGGAGCUCCUGCUGCAUGGUGGGGGUUGGAAAGUUUCGGCGGUUGUGGAUGGACUCGCGGCUUAUGAGCUUGUUGGUGGGGUAGUGGCUUACCCAGGCAGUGACGGGUAGCCGGCCUGGGAGGGUGACCGGCGACAUUGGGACUAAGAGACGGAGCAGACGGCUACGGUGGGCAGCAGUGGGGAAUAUGGCACAAUGAGCGGAAGCCUGAUGCAGCAACGCCGCGUGCGGGAUGACGGCCUUCGGGGUGUAAACCGCUUUCGCCUGUGACGAAGCGUGAGUGACGGUAAUGGGUAAAGAAGCACCGGCUAACUACGUG